AGCGCUUGCUUAGCAUUCAACCAGCCAAAAUACUGUUGCACUCCACCUAACGACAAGCCGGAGACAUGCCCUCCCACUGAUUACUCUAAGCUCUUCAAGACCCAGUGCCCUCAAGCUUAUAGCUAUGCUUAUGAUGACAAGAGCAGCACCUUCACAUGCAGUGGUAGACCUGACUACCUCAUCACAUUCUGCCCAUAAGCAUAUAUAUAUAUAUAGAAUGGGAUCUUAUAUGAUAUGAUAUUAUACAUAUAGUUCCCAAUAAAUAAAUUUCCUGGAUCUUGACACAUUGUUGAUGUCAAGAAUUUGUAAUGCAGACGAUCAAAUAACGUAAAUGUUUGGAUUUUAUUUUCGUUCAUGGCUUUCAAAUUUUUGUUUCCUUCAUUUCUUUAUAUGAUGCAUUAUUUCCAGCAACAAAACAUGAGCAUAAUAUAAAGAGAGUUAGCUGCAAUUGAAAUGGUUAUCAAACGGGAGUUUAAAUACGGAUUGUAAUUUUCUGUCAUGCCUGGUGUUGAUGCGAAAAAGUGGUUUGAUACGUAAUUCGUCAACUUAGUCAAAAUGUCCCUUCGGUAGGUCCCCGUCCUUGGUAAGUGGUCCACUCCAGAGGGUCAAGUACCUGCAAAAGGACGCGUUCGGUAAAUCCUUGGGGUACCGGUGCGGUACCGGCCGAAGGCUCUCCGAUGCCUAAAUGAGUACGGAUUUAGUAAGGUUAACUGACAGAUCACACGAUAGCGUACCGUUAGUUCUUCUUCUUCCCUUUUGGGGAUAUGGGUCUCCUUAUAUAGACCUUGGGAGGUGUGCUUUGUGCUCAUUUUUCCGAUGUGGGACUCCAAGCAUGGAUUGUGAACAUGACACGUGUCUGUUGGUAAAAAGGGCCAAGAUAUAUAGCUUCGGUAGUGAGCAUGCCGUAGGGGCCCUGUGAUCAGAGUGGAUCCUGUCCACGUGUCCGGUGGAAAUAGGCCGUUUAAUUAGGUAUAAACAGUAGUCCCUCAAGUUCUCUUUCGAAGGUUCUUCGGAAGGGAAUUUGGUUUUCCUUGGUAGUUCGGAGGUUCUCCUGCCGUUCGGCAUGCUCAUUUGGGGGGAGGAAAGGCGCUUGAGUUGUUCCUUUCGGAAAGUAGUGUUCUGGGAAAAUCGGUCGGGGACUUGAAGGGUCGCCAAUGUUGAGAGGCGAGAGGGCAGAGAGACGCUUCGUCUUCCGUGCCUGGCGCGCAGAUAGAGGCGCCAUUUGCCGGGUGACGCGUGGCCAGCAAUAACACGCCUGUUGGUGCAUUAAUGAGCCGUUUCGUCUCCCGAGGCGUACCGUUACAGUUCUCCCUCUAUAAAUAGAGGUUGCUCUGUAUGAAAAAAUUCACUUUGCAAUUGUGAGUUUGCGCGAGAGCUCUUGAGUAGGCGAUUUUUGAAGUGUGCGAACGGCAAGCAAGGCGAUUUUCGAAGCGUGCGAACGGUAAGCUAGGCGAUUUUCGAAGCGUGCGAACGGCAAGCUAGGCGAUUUUCAUAGCACUCAAGGUAAGAUACCGUUCGGUACCCCUGAAUUUUGUUAUACUUCUGUAUAUGGCAUAGGCUCGCCGAUCGUUAAGUAGGAUCUUCCUUCGGUAGUCUAGUGGCCAUAGGUAGAGAAGUAGGUAUCUGUAGGAUAGCGCAGCACGCACCUUAGUUUUUCCCUUUUUCUUGUUUUGUAGAUGUCCGAUAGCGAGUCACCGUUCGGCGAUGAGCCCAACGCUUUCGACGGGGAGCUAUCUUCCGGCUGGGGUACGUCCAGCGAGGCCGUGAGCCUCGGCGCCGAGGGCGGGGAAGACUCCGAUGCCGAGCUAUUCGGUGAGGAGGCGGAUUCCAUUCCCACCCACGGCAUCGGUAAGGGGUUCAUGACGGGGCACCCGUUACCCCUGGUCGCGGUGUACAGGGACGGUACCCGUGUCGUGCCGUCUGAGCACCAGCCAGAGGCUUCCACCUCCGGCAAUGAUGAGUGUGUUGCCGGUCCCUCUCGGCCGAGAGUUACGAUCGUCCACCGAGAGCGGUAUAGGAUACCGGUGGGCAUACCGCAGAAGACCCUGUUCGGGGUUGAUUAUUUGGGGCCGAACAAACUUACCGAACGGGAGCUUCAAAAGAUUAGGGCCGAAUACCUCAUUCCUGACUCGGUGAAGAUGAGGGUCCCGAGCCCGGUCGAGUCCCUCAGCGACCCUGGGGAUGGUGAAGUCGUCUUCUUCACCGAUAUGCUGGUGCAGGGGGUCAGGUUGCCGUUGCAGCCUGCCGUUCAGAAGUUACUUGCCCAGAUUGGGUAUGCCCCGGGCCAAUAUAACCCCAACUUUUGGGUGGCCCUGAUGGGGGUGAUAACGGCCUUUGGGAUUGCCGGGGAGGGGGAGCCUUCCUACGAGCAAUUCUCCUACCUCUACAGCGUCACUAAGUCGAAGAGUGCCGACCAUGGUGGCUGGGUUCAGGCGAACUGCCUGAAGGCUUCCGAGCGAGGUCACUUCGUCAGCUCGGUGCCGACUUCCCAGAAGUCGUGGAGGAAUCGGCGGGUGCUACUCUCUGGCCAAUGGGAAUCGCCAUCAGGAGUACGCCCGCAGUCCCCAGUACCAACGACUUUCCAAACCGCCGGUAGGUCCCUAGUUACCGAUCGGCAGGUCCCUAGUUGCCUUUCUGUUUUCUUUUUAUAUUUGCUCACUCAUUCUUUAUUCGGACAGGCAAACUCAAGCAGCCGACUCCUACACAAGACGAGAUUCGGCAGAUCGACAGGGUGAGGCUGAAGGUCCCUGCCGCCGAGCGAGUGUACCCGCGCUUCCUUUUCACCAAUAAUCUCAUCAGAGCCGGGCUCGUCGACCCUGCCGAGAGUAAGUGUACUUGUUGCGCUUUUCUUCCUCUUCUCUUUUUUUGUGUGCUUGCCGACUGACUGAUUGUUUUUGGCCAGUGACGGACGCAAGGAGGGCUGCCGAGGCCAAGAAGAUGAACGAAUCUUCCAGGAGGCGCCUCAUGAUGGGCCUCGAGGGCAAGAAGAAAAAGAAGCAGCUCGAGGCCCCUGCCGUUCGGUCGUCGACGGACCCCGAGGAGGUGACCCUCGCUGAGCGUAUGCGGCAGUUGGGCGCUGAGCCUGUCGCAAGGCCGGCUGUCGAUCCCCAUGCGCCGAGGCAUGCCGUCGCCGAUGCCGUCGCCUCAAGGGCUGCCGGGAAGCGGCCGAUAACGGUGGAUUUGGAAACUUCUCCGGCGUCCAAGCGAAGCCGUCCGUCAGACGCUUCCAGGGCCGUCUUUGCGGCGGAGGACGAGGAUGGGCCUACCGAGGCCGUCACUCUCGCCUGCCCCUCGAAGACGGUGCAAUUCGUCAACCAUAUGAUCCUCGGUUCUCAGAUGGAGCUGCCGGAGGUUGACGAGUUGCCGAAGAAGGUUCUUCGGGAGCAGGCUGGACGCGCCUUCCGACUGCAAGCAGCAGUAAGAAUUUAUCUCCCGGUGUUGUCCUUUCAUUAUUUUUUUUUCGGUGCCAAGUGGGGCUUCAAACUAUCUUCCUCGUGUGCAGGCGUCCAUGGAGAUGUGGCUGUGUGUCAAGCGGGCCAUCUCCGCUGCCGAACGGGCAAAAAAGGACUAUGACGACGGCAGGGCUAAGGUUGCCGAGGCUGGAAAGGCUAUCCAGGACCACGCCCAGCUGCUAAAGGAGAAAGAGGCUGCCGAACGGCGGGCUCUCACUUCGGAGGCGACGGUGGGCGAGAUGCGGGCCGAUCUGGAGGCAGCGCGGGCGGCUCUGGAGGCAGCGCGGAUGGCAGCGCGUGAUGCCGAGGCCGUCUCGGAGGCGGUUCAGGACGCUCUGCAGGAGUCCGAGCGGACCAAGGCUGCGGAGGUUGAGGCUGCCAUUCAAACGGCAAUCCAGGGAUACCGUUCUUCCGAGGAGUUCACUGUCCUCCUGGACAGGGAAGUUGGCUCCGAGAUGGCGGGUAUGUUGUACCGAUUCAAGCGGUACAACCCUGGUCAGAAGCUGAACCUCAACUUCGCUGCCGAUCCCCCUCCCCUUCCCGAGGGAAUAACUGAGGAGAUGAUCGAAGACUACGAGGGGGAGGAUGCUGCUGCUGACGAAGCCUGAGGGCCUCUGUAAUAGUUUUAGCCUGUCUUAUUUUUAUUGUUAUUUUGUAUCUGUACCGAACGCCUUGAUGCCGAGGGCAUCUUUAAAUUAGAUGUGCAUAUUUUGUCUAUUUUUGUCUUUUCGAUUUGAUUUUGUUUUAUCGCCGAUAGGAUUUAUAACGUUAUAGAAGUAGCUUUCGAAAUUGUCAAGUUUCGAUGGAAUCUGUAGGGUGACAAUUUCGAAAAUACCUCCUGCCGUAGGUUAGUAAAGAUGCCCCAGAACGUUAUCUUGCUUAUAUUGGCAGCCGUAGGCUAGUAGAGACUGUAACAAGAGUUUCUGAAGCAAUAGUGCCGAAGGCUUUCUAUUUAUCUUUGCCGAAAGGCAUUUACAAUUUUGUCCUACCGUAGGCUAGGUUGCAACUCUGUCCUGCCGUAGGCUAGGUUACUUGAAAUAGUACUUGAGAUGUUCCACGUUCCAAGGAUGACCGAGGGUCUUGCCGUUGGAGUCUCUUAGGCGGUAGGUUCCCGAUCGAAGGAUACCGAUGAUCUCGUAAGGUCCUUCCCAGGAAGGUCCGAGGGUUCCUUCCGUGGCAUCCUUAGUUGCUAGGGACACCUUCCUCAUGACCUAAUCACCGGCUCGGAAUGAACGGUGUCUGAUUCUGGAGUCGUAAUACCGAGAGACGCGUUGCUUGUAGGCUUCGUUUCGAAGGUUGGCAUGUGCUCGGUGCUCUUCCAGGAGGUCGAGGCUUAGAGAAAGUGCUGCUUCAUUUGGCUCUGGUGCGAAGGUUUCCGUUCGGUAGGAAGGUUCGCCAAUUUCUACCGGCACAACGGCUUCCGAACCGAAAGCCAAAGAGAAAGGGGUUUCUCCUGUGGACGUUCGGUAAGAGGUCCGAAUGGCCCAGAGCGCUUCGGGAAGCUUUUCUGGCCAGGCUCCUUUGGCUUUGUCCAGCUGCCGUUUUAGCAGUUUCUUGAUGAUUUUGUUUAUCGCUUCUACCUGACCGUUCGACUGGGGAUGGGCCGGUGAUGCGAAAAACAAGUUGAUCUUCAGGCGGGUGCAAAAGUGCCUGAAGAGUUCCGAAUCGAACUGCCUGCCGUUGUCGGUGAUGAUUGCGUACGGGAUACCGAAACGGCAACAAAUGUGAGUCCAGACGAAGUCCUCUACUCUUGCUGCCGUUAUGGUUGCAAGAGGUUCGGCCUCCACCCAUUUGGUGAAGUAGUCGACGGCAACCACAGCGUAUUUCACCUGGCCUUUACCUUGUGGCAUCGGACCGAUCAGGUCUAGCCCCCACUGUGCGAAAGGCCAAGGACUCACGAUCGGUGUCAAGGGUUCGGCGGGGAUAUGCUGUAUGUUGCCGAAACGCUGACAUUUAUCGCAUUUCUUCACAAGUGAAUUGGCGUCCUGGUGCAUGGUCGGCCAGAAGUAUCCCUGCCGAAAGGCUUUGUGUGCGAGUGACCGGGACCCAGAGUGAUCGCCGCAAACACCAUUGUGGAUUUCCCGGAGAACGUAGCUCCCCUGCUCUGCCGUAAGGCACUUGAGAUACGGAGUCGUGUAGCCACGUUUGUAAAGGACGUCGUUGAUGACGGUGUACCUUGCCGAUCGGUAUCUAAGCUUUCGGGCCUGGGCCUUGUCCUCUGGAAGGGUGCCGUUGGUUAGGUAUGAGUAGAUAGGGGACAUCCACGUAUCCUCGUACCGUACGGUACAUAUUUCGGAGGUUGCCGUGCUUGGUUGGGCAAGAAUUUCCACCGGCACCUUUCUUCCGAUUUUGUCAUUGAUUGCCGAGGCUAGUCGCGCUAAAGCAUCGGCAUGACUGUUUUCGCUCCUGGGGAUCUGUUUGAUCUCAUAGGCUCGGAAGCUCUGGAGCAGCUGGUGGGUGGACGAAAGGUAGGCGUUCAUGGAGGCGUCUCUGGCGGCGAAGUCCGCCGUUACCUGGUUCACAAUGAGUUGGGAGUCACUGUGUAUCUUGAUCUGUUUUGCGUUCAUGCUCUUGGCUAAACGAAGGCCGGCCAAGAGAGCCUCAUAUUCUGCUUCAUUGUUGGAGGUUCGGAAGUUGAAUCGGAGGGCGUACUCGAUCUUGAGUCCCUCCGGUGUUGUCAGAACCAACCCUGCUCCACACCCCUGUUGGUUUGCCGAGCCGUCGACAUGCAGAGUCCAUACAGGAUUUGAGGCGUCGAGCCGUUCGGCGUCUACCUCCAUCGGUGCCGCGGUUUCGGUAACUGGCUCGGGUAUUUCCUGUGUCGUUGGUGGGGUGAGCUCGGAGAUGAAAUCGGCAAUGGCCUGACCUUUUCGGCUGGCCUUGGCACGAAUUGUAUAUCGAAUUCUCCGAGUUCAAUCGCCCACUUGAUCAAUCGGCCGGAAGUCUCUGGUUUUUGGAGUACUUGCCGAAGCGGUUGGUUUGUCAGGACAUUGAUCCCGUGUGCUUGGAAGUAUGGCCGAAGUUUUCGUGCCGAGAUCACCAGGGCUAGUGCAAGCUGCUCUAAUGGGGGAUAUCGAAGUUCAGCGCUCUGGAGUGCCUUACUGACAUAGAAGAUCGGUAGCUCUGCCCUCUCCGGUUUUCGGAUUAACACCGAACUGACGGCAGUGUUAGAUACCGAGAGGUAUAGGUAAAGAAUCUCCCCAGGCAGUGGUUUUGACAGGAGAGGUGCUCUGCCCAUAUAGUCUUUUAAGUCUUGAAAUGCUUUAUCACAUUCGGCAGUCCAUAAGAUAUUCUGUUUGCCCCCUUUCAAGGCUUUAAAGAACGGUACACAUUUGUCGGUAGCCUUGGAUAUAAAGCGAGUCAGGGCAGCCACUCGUCCGGUAAGGCUUUGGAUGUCCUUUGUUGUUUUUGGCCUCUCCAUGUCGAUGAUGGCCUUUAUUUUUUCGGGGUUCGCUUCGAUACCCCUGUGACUAAUCAUGAAUCUGAGGAAUUUCCCGGAAGACACACCGAAGGCGCAUUUCAUCGGGUUUAACCUCAUUCGGUAGCCCUUCAGGAUACCGAACAUGAUAGACAGAUUGUGCAGGUGUUCUUCGGCUGUUCUGCUUUUCACCAACAUGUCGUCAACGUAAACCUCCAUGAUGCUGCCGAUGUGUUCGGCGAAGAUUCUGUUGACAAGCCUCUGAUAUGUUGCCCCCGCGUUCUUCAAGCCGAACGGCAUGACGUUGUAGCAGUACAACCCUCUGUCAGUGAUGAAGGCGGUGUGCUCGCUGUCGGGGGGGUGCAUAAAAAUCUGGUUGUACCCUGAAUAGGCGUCCAUGAAGCUGAGCAGCUCGUGUCCUGCCGUGGCGUCCACGAGCUGGUCUAUUCGGGGUAACAGAAAGCUGUCCUUCGGGCAGGCCUUGUUCAGAUCGGUGUAGUCUUGGCACAUUCUCCAGCCGCCUGUACCCUUUCGAACCAUGACUGAGUUCGCCAGCCAUACCGGGUACGUAACUUCCCUGAUGAAGCCGAUGGUUUGAAGUUUGUCAACUUCCGUCCGCAUGGCUUCGUACCGUUCGGCAUCAUACAAACGGCGCUUCUGCCUUACAGGUUUGUAGGUUGGGGAAAUGCUGAGUUUAUGGCUGAUGAUUUCAGGGUCUAUGCCGGGCAUGUCUUCGUAGGACCAUGCGAACACUUCCGAAUGGUGCCGUAAGAAGUCUAUAAACUGCGCUCGGAGGGCGGGGGUCAGUCUGGUACCGAUUUUAACCCGACGAUCGGGCUGUUCAUCGCUCAGGGUUAUCGUCUCCAGUUCUUCGACGGGUUGCGUAUAAGGAGUUGGUGACUCAUCUCUUGGGUCGUCAACUGGUCCGUUGCCGUUCGGCAUCCCCUGCACAGACAUGGUCUUGUCUGGGAUUUUGAGAGAGGUUGAUUUGAUCGCCGUGGCGUAGCAAGUCCGUGCGCUCAGCUAAUUUCCCCUGACAGAUCCUACGCCAUUUGGGGUCGGGAAUUUCAUCAACAGCAUGUGUGGGGAAAGAUGCGCCUUUACCCUGGUCAGUGCCGUUCGCCCAACAAUGACGUUGUACGCCGUCGGGCAGUCAACGAUGAGGAACUUGUCAUAUACCGUCGUUCUCUUUGGCGCGGUGCCGAAGGUAAUUGGGAGCGUUACGCUACCGACCGGUUGGACCAUGUCCCCGGAGAAACUUAGCAAAGGCGUCAACUGCCGGUUGACCUGGCUGUCCUGUAUUCCCAUUUCUCGGAAAGCUUCGGCGAAGAUUACGUUUACCGAGCUCCCUGUAUCAAUCAGUACUCUCCCUACAUCGUAAUCGGCAAUUUCUGCUCGGACGAUCAUUGGGUCGUCGUGGGGACAGAGAAUGCCCUGUUCCUCUUCUUUGCAAAACGUGAUCGGCUCCCAAUGAUCCUUCGGUGUUUCAUGGUGGCGAUUCACCUCUAUGCCGAACACCUGGGGAAACUGUGCGGCACGCACGUACUGCUUCAUCGAGCGAUUGCUCAGUCCUGCGAUGGUUGGGCCGCCGCUGAUAGUGCUUAUCAUGUUUAUCUGCCGAUUUGCGUUCGGCUCCGGCGCCGUUGGCUGCCGGGCGAUAUACUGGUCUAGCUUCCCCUCUCGGAUCAAGCGUUCGACGAUCUUCCUCAGGCUUAUGCAGUCUUCUGUAUUAUGGCUGUUGUGCUGAUGGUAUCGGCAGAAUUUACCGGUAUCCCGGUUGUCUUGCCGAUUGGGCCUUCGUUGAUUCGGCUUGGGUAUUUUUUCCUGUUCGUUCAUCAGGACGGCCUCGUAGGUAGUAUUCAACAGGGUGAAGACCUCAUUGCCAUGAUCCCGAUUCGGCAGGGGGGCUCGGUUGUCGUUGCGACUGUACCUCCCUUUUUCUUUCUUUGGGUGCUCCCUUCGAUCUGCACGAUCAUCCUUCCUCUUAUGACCUGCCGAGUAGGUGUCGACUCGCUCAUAAGGCGUUGCCCUUGCCGGAUAGGCACUUGGUUCCGCAUUUCCUUGCGGUGCCGAAACCGUGGGUUUCGAGUUGAAGUAUUCGGCCUUGGCGUGGAUUGCUGCCUGCUUCAUCAGUUCAUCGUACGUGCGCCAGUUGCUACUGUGCACCAGGUAUCGAAAAUGAGAGGACCGAAGGCCACUCUUGAAGGCGCCGUAGGCUGCCCUAUCAUCCGUUUCCGGACACCUUGAGUACUCGUGACUGAAACGCGCCGCGUAUUCUCUCAACGGUUCGUCCUCCCUUUGCCGAAUCGUGUACAGAUCAUCGGCGGAGUAGAGACGGUCCGUUUGGAUUAUGAAGUGAUUGAGGAAGAUCUGCUUCAGCUCAUCAAAGGAUGCUACCGUUUCCGGCUCUAAACGGUAGAACCAGUUCAAGGCUGCCCCGGUAAGGGAAGACGGGAAUAGCAGGCACUGCCCCUCAUCGCUCAAGCCCUUGCAUCCAAUAGCGGACUGGAAUGAAUGGAGGUGUGUCAAAGGGUCCUCCGUUCCUGUGUAGAACGUUAUACGCAGUUGCUGCACUUCCCUGUCUUGCCGAGAAUCCCGGAUGCGCCUUGUGAACGGUCCGGGCCGAAGCUUUCCCCAUUCCGGUUCUUGGGAGCGCGCAUUGUCGUUUUCCAUUUUCUGGACCUUCUGAAAAAGGAGUCGGAUCAUGGGGUCUCGGCUAGGGACUUCUUCGGAACCGUAAUCUUCCGAUUGUCUUUGUAGGUUUAGUGAAUUAUCCCCCGCAUACCGCGAUGGUGUUUCCGAACGGUAGUCGGGGGGAAGUGUCUUGGAAGGGAUGUACUCGGACUCCGAAGACUCGGCGGGGCCCAAUCCCCUGACCUUCCGAAUAGGCGACUUAUCCCCUAGGUUAUUCAUCCGUGAUUCCCUUAUUCGAGCGCCAAUCCUGAUCGGUGACCCCUCUCUCUCUGGCUCCCGAUCGUUAGUGCGAUGCUCCCGGUCGUUAAUCCGAUGUCGGCAAUCGGUGUAGACCUUCCUUGGGAUGUGCGGCUGAUCCCGGGGUGCCGGAACCACUAACUCUCUGGAAGGUGCGGGCGUUGCCUUCGCUACCUUCGCGCGUUUGUUCUUCCCGCGGGGGUUCUGCAAGCUCUCGGAAGAGCGAGUUGUCUGUAUGUUCUGCGGUUGCUGCUGGUGAAGCAACUGCUGGGUUUCGUCCACUUUGGACGAAAGGAAGUUGUUGUGUUCCUGAAGCCUCGCCAUGUCCUUCCGUAAGGAUGCGAUUUGGGCUGCCAUCUCGACUUCGGCAGCCGUUUGGGUAGCGGGGGCAUUUCCGAAGGGAGUGUUGGAGGUAGCGCUGGGCUAGCUCCGCUCUGCCUUCCGAACGGUACCCCCUCUUCCGCUAGGAACGUUUGUUUUGAAGUGGUCCCCAUGUGCUUAGGGGAUUGUGGGUUGAUGAUUUUUUGGUUUCCCACAGACGGCGCCAAACUGUUGAUGCGAAAAAGUGGUUUGAUACGUAAUUCGUCAACUUAGUCAAAAUGUCCCUUCGGUAGGUCCCCGUCCUUGGUAAGUGGUCCACUCCAGAGGGUCAAGUACCUGCAAAAGGACGCGUUCGGUAAAUCCUUGGGGUACCGGUGCGGUAUCGGCCGAAGGCUCUCCGAUGCCUAAAUGAGUACGGAUUUAGUAAGGUUAACUGACAGAUCACACGAUAGCGUACCGUUAGUUCUUCUUCUUCCCUUUUGGGGAUAUGGGUCUCCUUAUAUAGACCUUGGGAGGUGUGCUUUGUGCUCAUUUUUCCGAUGUGGGACUCCAGGCAUGGAUUGUGAACAUGACACGUGUCUGUUGGUAAAAAGGGCCAAGAUAUAUAGCUUCGGUAGUGAGCAUGCCGUAGGGGCCCUGUGAUCAGAGUGGAUCCUGUCCACGUGUCCGGUGGAAAUAGGCCGUUUAAUUAGGUAUAAACACCUGGUAAGGAAUAAGCAUGGCUAUUUACGAAACUAUAAUAUGAACAACACUGAGAAACACAAGUAUGGCCAUUUCAAACAGACUACAAAUAACUUCGUAUUCCAACAAUGAAUCAACAGCACCCAUGGCCAUAUACGUUUGCAGCAUCUGAAGGUAGAUCAUCUAAUUAAUGUUAGAAGGAUAAUAGUUUCUAAAGUUCUUUAUUAAAAAAAUCAAUAGACAACCACCAGAGACAAAUUUUGUUUUGGAGAAGAUGAUUAUUCUCAAUUCUUGACAGCUGCAUAAUGCUAAAAUAUGAAUAUGGUUUGAAUACUUUACUUUAGGUUAGUUGUAUUCUUCUUCAUAAAGAGGUAUAUAUGAGUUUACAAGGUGCUUUAUAAGGAAAUAGAUACAGUUAAUUACCAUGGUAUACAAAGUGACUUAGAGACAAAAACUCAGAGACCGACUUGACUUUCACCAUGCGGCUUCUGGAAGUGCAAAUGAACCAUGCACAAGACUUUUAGAGUGAGCUCUUUGGACGUGGACUUGUUAAAACAUGAAAGGUUUUGUGUUGAUUUUUCUCAAUCAUACAAUCCGUUAAUAUACAAAUUUAUGUACACGAACACUACUAAGGAAUGCAAAGACUUUAAGAUCAUACAAACUACAAGUACUUGUUGAGAGUAUUUAGUCCAUGUUUUUUUUUUAAAAAAAUGCAGACAUUCAUUUUGUAUUUUAUUUUCCGUUCAUGUUUUUUUAUGGUUUAUCAAACUCAUAUAAAUAUGAUACAUAAAGCAAAAAAUAGAGAGAGAAUAGUAAAACAUUCAAAAAAUUAAAAAUUGUUCUUACUUCAUUUUUUUUUGUUGGAAUGCAUUUAUUACACAUUGAAACUUUUCAUUAAAUAAGCAUAAUAUAGUAAAUAUAUAUAUAUAUAUAUAUAUUAGAUGGGGACCUAUUUUCUUGGGACACAACUUGACAGGACCCGAUCCAAAUUCCACUUUGGAAUCCGAGCCAUACCCUGUGUGUGUCCGACACUUGGCGAAUGUCGUUUUCCGGCGAGCUCCGGCCACGGAAACUCCGACGAAGGGUCAGAAAAUGACGGCGGUCGAGUGGUGGUUCGUUUGGUACCAACGGCGGAGAUCGGCUCCAAGCGUGGUGGCCGUGGCGACGAUGAGAAGGGAGGAAGGUCGGCUGGCGCGGGCUGAUCGGGAGGAGAGAGAGAAAAGAGAGAAAUUGAUGGGGGAAGAAAGAGAGAGAGAGAGAAACAGGUUUUAUAAAUCUAAUUUUCCAAUUUACCAUUUUCCCCCUCAUGAUAUUUUAAUCGUAUUGUCUUCAUGAAAAUUCCGAUUUGAGCUUACUUCGUGUCUAUGAACUCGUGUCGUCGUGCUCUACGGAACGGUGUAUGGGGAAUUGUCAAAUUCCUUUUCGGUCAAAAAGUCAACUUUGAGUUCAUAAGGUAGUCAAAGGGCAAAAUUGUCUUUCCGUAUAAUAAAUUACUCAUUAAAUAUGAAUUUUAGGUUUGGGUCAUUACACAACUUCUUUAUCUUUUUUUUUAGUUGGAUUCUUAAUUCUUAAAUUAAAAAAACGAAAAUAAAAAACCAAUUGGCACCAAGGUAGUAUAUAUGAAACAUCGUCAGAAAUUAAAUUUUUUUUUUUUUGAAAUGUUCAUAAAAACAAACAAACAAAAAUAUAUACAUACAUUAACAAAAAAAAUAAUUUUCAAAAUAAAUGCACAGUGCCCAAGGAAACUCCUUAUAUAAUGUAUGUCUCUUGAAAAUUGUCAACAAAUCCGCUGUAGCAAUACUUACAAAUGGAUAAUUGUAAUCCGGGUUCGAAUCCCGACAGUGGAAUUCUUUUUAAGUUAGAUGUAUGACAGGAUUCGCCCCAAAUUCCUCGGAACCCGAAAUGAAUCCUGUGAAAUUCCGACAUCACCCCGAUGCCGGGCCCACUUAUUAAAGACCAAGACUUUCUACCAAAAUUUUGGCAGAGUCUCCCCUGUAAUUUGAACAAUCCCAAAAAUUUCAACAUGCAUAAAAUACAUGUCAUAUCCCAACAAGCAGCACGCACAAUAUAAUUUCAUGCAAUUCACAAACUCGACCUUAGGCCCUCACAUGAACCGAAGCGAAACCAAACUACCAACAAAGCCCUUACGCCAAAAAUAUUGCCUUAAUAUGGUAUAACAACACCCUUAAUUCAUCUCUCUAUACGCCUGAAAUUCCAACGCUACGUAUGAGGUCUGUCUCAACGCCGAAAAAUCCUACGCCACGCGAGACCUAACAAAUCACAUAAUCUCCUCAUACGCCGAAAAUUCUAACGCCACAUAUGGGGUCUGUCAUCAUUGAUUUAGGAUAUUAUCUUGAGAGAUAUUAUCAUCAAUUAGUGAUUUAAUCCCAAUCAAAUUGUUAAUUGACUUAAUCUCUCCAUUUAAGGGAAAAAAUAUCUUCCUUCAAAAUAAGAAGAUAUUCGUUGAAAAUCUCUUCAUUUAGGUAAUUCUGAAACGUAGCAAGAAUUCCCCAAAACCUCUCUCUCUCUCUCUCUCUCUCUCUCUCUCUCUCUCUCUCUCUCUCUCUCUCUCUCUCUCUCUCUCUCUCCGCCCUAGCCGACGGCCUCUCUCACUCUUAUCUCUCACACACGGCCAAGUGCCACCACACACGGCUUUGGCCACUCGACUCUCCCCGUGAGAAAAAGCUCCGUACCAUUUUUAGCUAUUGCAACAUAUUUUCUCCUAUUGCCACAUAUUUUCUCAAAGAUCCAAUCGAACUAACUUAGGCAUCGGAGAGAUUUUGACGAACACCUACCAGGUGUGGUUUUUUACUCUUGUUUGUUUCGCAGUAACCGAGCAAGAGAGAGAAGGAAGCUCAAAAAGUGAAAGAUCCACAUGCGAAUAUUCUUCCUUGAGAAAUUUGCAUAAACAGAAGACGUGUGACAUAUUCUUGGUUCAAAAAUAUCCAUCCGAAACAAGGAAAAAAUUGUAAAACCAAACUUAAGAAAUUAUACCUCUAUUCUGGUCAGCAUGAAUGGAUAUGUCCAAACAAAUUUUAAUCCAACAAGAAAAAUCAGAGGAGAAGGUUUAGGGUUUCACAAACAGAUCUACCAAGUAAAACGAAUUAACAUAUGAUAUGGGCAAAAUAAAGAAAUGAGACCAAGAUAAAACUUCUAGAAAGGUGACAAAUUGUCCUUUGAAGUAAUUUUACGUAAGCAUAACAAUUCGAAAUAAAAGAUAAACAAACAAAAAUCCUAUGAAUGGAUGGGACGAGGAAAAUUGAAGCUGACAAUAAAGGUUACUAACUUACUUGGGAUGUAUCCAAAGAAAAAAAAAAACAUGAAGGGAAAUACUAGUUUUCCUUCCUUGUUUUACUUUUCUCCCUCAUUAAUUGUACUUGGCUUUAGCUCCAUGCAUCUUCUCCUCCUUCACGGCAGCUUGGCCCAUCAAUCACGCUAUGAAAACGGCAUUUUUCCAUUUCUUCCAGUCUGGCUACUUUGACAUUUCUUGGGUUUCAUUAUCUAAAUUAAUAUCUAGUACUUGUUUUUUUAUGUACUCGUGCCAAUAUUCAAAGUACCUGCUAUCAUAAAUAAACCUAUGUAAACAGGGACUAAACGUUUAUGGCCCGUUUCCUAGUGUUGAUGACCUAUCAUCUAAUGUUUGAGUUUAAUCCAAAUCUCUCUAGAAGUUUUUUUUUUUUCCUUUCUCUAUGAGGGUUCAAACGUGACACAUCUCGUAACUCGUCUAUAAGUUAAAGUCAAUUUCUAUUGCGCUAGAGACCCUAUUGGCCUCUAAAAGAUCUUUUAGUUACUUCUUUAUCCAAUUGAUCACUUUUUCUACUUUAAUUUUUCUGGAUUGAAUUUGAAUUUUCUGUAAUAUAUAUUUUUUUGGGAUAAUGUAAACAGGGGACUUCACUUCAUUGCAGGUCAAUGACGAUAUCUAGGAACAAUCCAUCAGUCUAGGACCAAACAUUAUGAGUCAUUUGUUAGUUUCCUCAGGGUCCUGUUUACGUGUUGCCAUGGCAGCUUAGACCCGUAAUCAAAAUCGCAAGAAAAGAUCAAAAGUUAGGCACGCUACAAGCCCUAUAUAAAGCACCCCCUGGCACCCAAGUUUAUCAUCAUCCUCCUCACCAAAUUACAAAUUAAUUAAGUUUAUCAGCAACAGCAAGCCAAUUAAGACAUUUCCAAGACGAUGAUGAAGAGCCAAGCAGCUCUCCUCGGCCUCACCACCUUGGCCAUCCUCUUCUUCUCAGGUAUAAUAUUAUACAAACUUUGUUAGUCGAUCAGAUAUCGAUCAAAAGUUUAUUUUUACAAUUGUCUCUGUAAUCUGUUUUCUUAUGAUCACGUUGAAUAUGCAGGUGCACAUGCAGCUAAAAUCACUUUCACAAACAAAUGUUCCUACACUGUCUGGCCAGGAACCCUAACCGGUGACCAAAAACCUCAAUUAUCACUCACCGGGUUCGAGUUAGCAACCGGAAUUAGCAACUCUGUGGACGCUCCGUCCCCGUGGUCCGGUCGCUUCUUUGGCCGAACCAGGUGCUCCACGGACGCGUCAGGAAAGUUCACUUGUGCCACAGCAGAUUGUGGCUCUGGCCAAGUCUCAUGCAACGGUAACGGCGCAGUUCCGCCAGCUACAUUAGUAGAAAUCACUAUUGCUGAGAACGGGGGUCAAGAUUUCUACGAUGUUAGUCUUGUUGACGGCUUCAACUUGCCCAUGUCCGUGGCUCCACAAGGCGGCACCGGAGAGUGUAAGGCCUCAACUUGCCCUGCCGAUAUUAACAAAGUGUGCCCGGCUGAGUUACAAGUGAAGGGAUCUGAUGGAAGCGUAAUUGCGUGCAAGAGCGCUUGCUUAGCAUUAAACCAGCCACAAUACUGUUGCACUCCCCCUAACGACAAGCCGGAGACAUGCCCUCCCACUGACUACUCUAAGCUCUUCAAGACCCAGUGCCCUCAAGCUUAUAGCUAUGCUUAUGAUGACAAGAGCAGCACCUUCACAUGCAGUGGUAGACCUGACUACCUCAUCACAUUCUGCCCAUAAGC
rnacentral:lncRNA from 1 species